GGGGAUGUAGCUCACUGAUAGAGCAUUUGCCUUGCAUGCAUGAGGCCCUGAGUUCAACCUCCAGCCCUA
rnacentral:tRNA from 1 species